UACUCCUACGGGAGGCAGCAGUAAGGAAUAUUGGACAAUGGGGGCAACCCUGAUGCAGCGACGCCGCGUGAGCGAAGAAGGUUUUCGGAUCGUAAAGCUCUGUCCUUGGAGAAGAUGAUGACGGUAUCCAAGGAGGAAGCCCCGGCUAACUACGUGCCAGCAGCCGCGGUAAUACGUAGGUGGCGAGCGUUGUCCGGAAUUACUGGGCGUAAAGGAUGCGUAGGCGGAUAUUUAAGUCAGAUGUGAAACCCCCAGGCUUAACUUGGGGACUGCAUUUGAAACUGGAUAUCUAGAGUGCAGGAGAGGUAAGUGGAAUUCCUAGUGUAGCGGUGAAAUGCGUAGAGAUUAGGAAGAACACCAGUGGCGAAGGCGGCUUACUGGACUGUAACUGACGCUGAGGCAUGAAAGCGUGGGUAGCAAACAGGAUUAGAUACCCUGGUAGCCA
rnacentral:rRNA from 1 species